CCUCGCCUUCCGGCCCGAGUGUUUCGCACGGGCCGCUGUCCUAUCGCGCACAGAGGAAAGCGGGCGGCGGCGUGCGAGCUGAGGGCUGGGGGCGCGGCAGGCGGGCGGCGAGUCGGCGUCGAGUGGCGGCGGAAGCGCAGCGCAGGCCGCAGGCGCACCUCCCCGCCCUCCGGCAGCGGGCGGUCCUGUUCCUAGCUAAGCCGGGGCCGCUGCCGCUUGGACUGUGUCCUGCUACGAGGGGACAGGCUGCCUGCACACUGGCCACGCGACAGUCCUAGGAAAGCACGGGGUUGUCACUGUCGGUCCUAAAGCACGGACUGCAAAGCUCUGAGGGUCCCAUUUCCAAAGACAACGUGUGCAAACUCACAGGGAGACGGGAGAGAAGGGGGCCGUGGUUUCCUCUCUGUGGCUCCCACUCCUGUGGAUGUGGGUAACGGUGAGGACAGGGUAAUCGGCCCACGUCGUAGAGAGGCGACAAGCGUGUCGUCUGAGACGAGCCCCAGGCUUCUAGAAAUCGCUCAGUAAUGUUUGCUGUUAUCCUCUGAGGGACAGCUGGGCCGCUGGGGCAUUUUUCAGGUGGGACGGCGCAGUUGGAAAGAUUUUGUGCCUUCCUUGUCUCACAAGGACACUUCCCACGUGAGGAUCCCGCCUUCCUGACCUCAUCUAACCCGAGUCAUCUCCCAAAGGCUCUCGGCCAAAUGCUAUCAGCUUGCCUUCAAAAGGAUGAAGGGAUCAGAGAACAGAAGAGACCCAGUGUGGGACGAGUCCCAGGACAGCCUUGCACCACAUCAUUCGCUGAGACGGAGAGACGGAGGGACACACAUGUACUACAUCAGCUUGUGACUGCACAGCCCUCUGGCUCACCUGUGGAAACGGACGGGGCCUGGCCGAUGGGGCCUGUGUGCUGGGUGGUGGGGGUGCCCGUUUGAUCGCAGAAGUUGCUAAAGUAGCACACAUACAGCAGCGUUUGUUAUUAAGCUACAAGAAGCAGUUUCGCUUCCGCCUCUGCCAACGUGUCCUGCUUCUUUUUCAUCAGGAUGCUUCAACUGCACACACCAGGAGAGCAACCUAACUGGAAAAUCAUCAAGGCCCUGAAUUAUCCCACAAAAGCGAAGUCCCAAUCCGGCAACCAAGAACUAUUUCUUCGGCUCAGCGACGUCAUGUCAAAUGAUGUCAGCAUCUUAGUAAUUCUCUUAGCUUUUCCUUCCUGGUCACAGGGUGACUGCAGCAUUUCUAGGCAUCCAGUCCUUGCUUUGUGGCCCUGAGGUGGGCACAGGAGAGCCCUUGCAGCUGGACGUUAUCUCCUUUGUGCUCUGCUGCCCUGGCCGGUCUCAGGCCCGAUGCAGCGUGUGUGCCCAGUAUGAGGGUGGUUUCUUCGUGCUCCCGUGGAGUCCUUCCAAUAGGCAGGCGAGCACCAGGGUGCCCACUGCAUGGAGGAGAUGACGGAAUGCUGGGUCUGAGUGUGCUUGCAGACUGGUGACACAAAUGUGGUCCGAAGUUGAUAACUGCUGAAACUGGUUGAUGGGUACCCGGGGUUCAUUAGGUUCUACUUUUGUGUGUUAGAUUUACUAUUAAAAGAGAAAAGACACAAACCCUUUUACUGUCCUCAGUGUGUUGCACCUUCCGUCUCACAGGAACUGUGUCAGACAUUGAUACUAUCCAUCAACGUCUCUCUUUUAGCUGGGCCGCCAUAACAAAUACCACACAUGGG
rnacentral:lncRNA from 1 species